rnacentral:rRNA from 1 species
ACUCAAAUGAAUUGACGGGGGCCCGCACAAGCAGCGGAGCGUGCGGUUCAAUUCGAUGCGACACGAAGAACCUUACCAGGGUUUGACAUGGCGGUGGUAGCAAAGCGAAAGCUGAGCGACCCGCAAGGGAGCCGUCACAGGUGAUGCAUGGCUGUCGUCAGCUCGUGCCGUGAGGUGUUCACUUAAGUGUGAAAACGAGCGCAACCCUUGUCGCUAGUUACAUGUGUCUAGCGGGACUGCCGGAUUAUCUCCGGAGGAAGGCGGGGAUGACGUCAAGUCAGCAUGUCCUUUAUAUCCUGGGCGACACGCACGCUACAAUGGGUGUCAUAAUGCGUUGCCAAGCCGUGAGGCGGAGCUAAUCGCACAAAAGCACCCCCAGUUCAGAUUGCAGGCUGCAACCCGCCUGCAUGAAGUCGGAGUUGCUAGUAAACGCGCGUCAGCCAUAGUGCGUUGAAUACGUUCCCGGGCCUUGUACACACCGCCCGU